UGAACGCAGAACAGCUAUUCACCGGCCGGCCACUAGAGGGGGACCGCGAACGCAAAAAAACAUGUGGCUCUUCUCAGCUCACUGACAUUGUGUCACACAAACAAAGAAAAAUGCCAGAAGAAGUUCCUGCCCAGUGCAAGGCUCCCAAAGAUGAGCUGGACAAAUGUGUUCAGGGGAAGGGUGCAGAGGGCUGUAAGGAGCUGCUGGAAGCUUUUGAGGCCUGUGUGAAGGGGACCACGGCAGCCUCAUGAGGGGACAUGGAU